CAGCCGUAAACUAUGCGCGUUAGGUGUAUCGGUGACCACGAGUUACCGAGGUGCCGAAGGGAAACCGUGAAACGUGCCGCCUGGGAAGUACGGUCGCAAGGCUGAACUUAAAGGAAUUGGCGGGGGGAGCACCACAACGGGUGGAGCCUGCGGUUUAAUUGGACUCAACGCCGGGAAGCUCACCGGAUAAGACAGCGGAAUGAUUGCCGGGCUGAAGACUCUGCAUGACUAGCUGAGAGGAGGUGCAUGGCGUAGACGUC
rnacentral:rRNA from 1 species